GUAGUCAACCUGCCCUGGAGGCCUGAAUAACCCCGGGAAACUGGGAUUAAUACAUGAUAGGUCAUCUCAUCUGGAAGGAGAGAUGGCUUAAAGGGGUGCGAGAGCUUCUUUCGUGCAUUUGCUCCAGGAUGGGACUGCGUCCGAUCAGGCUGUUGGCGGGGUAAUGGCCCACCAAACCUGUAACCGGUACGGGCCUUGAGAGAGGGGGCCCGGAGAUGGACACUGAGAGAAGGGUCCAGGUCCUACGGGGCGCAGCAGGCGCGAAACCUUCGCAAUGCGCGAAAGCGUGACGAGGUUAAUCCGAGUGGUUCCCGCUGAGGGGAUCUUU
rnacentral:rRNA from 1 species